CUUCAAUAGGCACCGUCCUCAGCAACUAUAAGGCCAACUUACAACAUCUGAGAACAACCAAGGUUGGCCUUCAACUUUCAAGCUGAGUGCCCUUCCCCACCUCCAGCCUGCACCACUCUUCACGACCCCAGGCCACCUUCUGGAUAAGUUCAUCAAGGAGUUUCUCCAGCCCAACAAAUGCUUCCUAGAGCAGAUUGACAGUGCUGUUAACAUCAUCCGUACAUUCCUUAAAGAAAACUGCUUCCGACAAUCAACAGCCAAGAUCCAGAUUGUCCGGGGAGGAUCAACCGCCAAAGGCACAGCUCUGAAGACUGGCUCUGAUGCCGAUCUCGUCGUGUUCCAUAACUCACUUAAAAGCUACACCUCCCAAAAAAACGAGCGGCACAAAAUCGUCAAGGAAAUCCAUGAACAGCUGAAAGCCUUUUGGAGGGAGAAGGAGGAGGAGCUUGAAGUCAGCUUUG
rnacentral:lncRNA from 1 species